rnacentral:lncRNA from 1 species
CUCACUUCUCACCAAGAUGUGCCCAGAGCCUAUCAACUCUUUGCUGUGAACGUUUCGGUUUGGGUUUGUUACCAGGAGCAUCCAGGCCAAAUAUCUUCUGUGGGAGAAAAAAAAAGCUUAAGUGAAUUCCCUUUCAGCAGCUUCAUCUCUAAAUGUGCUUGAAAAAGAUAAGGAAGUGAGACUCAUCCAUGUCAAGCAAGCGGGCAACAAAGAUACCAGCAAAAUACUUCCCAUGUGUUUUGCUCUUAACUGCAACCAAAACACAACACGACGCAACAAAGCAAGACCUGGUUCCUCGUAUACCUGAGAAGGAAAAAAACAUUCAAAAAGAGAGAACUAUGUCUG